AUUGAACGCUGGCGGCAGGCCUAACACAUGCAAGUCGGGCUAGCGGCGGACGGGUGAGUAAUUUAUUGGGAUCUGCCUGACGUAGGGGGCUAACUACUGGAAACGUUAGCUAAUACCGCUUACCAUCCGUUGAACCCAUAUGGGAUUAGCUGGUGGGUGAGGUAACGGCUCCCCUAGGCGACGAUCCCUAGCUGGUCUGAGAGGGUGAGCAGCCACACUGGGACUGAGACACGGCCCAGACUCCUACGGGAGGCAGCAGUGGGGAAUAUUGCACAAUGGGCGCAAGCCUGAUGGAGCCAUGCCGCGUGUAUGAAGAAGGCCUUCGGGUUGUAAAAUACUUUCGUUCGGGAAGCGUUACCGACAGAAGAAGCACCGGCUAACUCCGUGCCAGCAGCCGCGGUAAUAC
rnacentral:rRNA from 1 species